UACAGAGGGUGCGAGCGUUAAUCGGAAUUACUGGGCGUAAAGCGUGCGUAGACGGCUAUCUAAGUCGGGUGUGAAAGCCCCGGGCUCAACCUGGGAAUUGCAUUCGAGACUGAAUAGCUAGGGUACGGUAGAGGGAAGCGGAAUUUCCGGUGUAGCGGUGAAAUGCGUAGAUAUCGGAAGGAACAUCAGUGGCGAAGGCGGCUGCCUGGCCCAAUACUGACACUCAGGUGCGACAGCGUGGGGAGCAAACAGG
rnacentral:rRNA from 1 species